AUACGGAGGGGGCUAGCGUUGUUCGGAAUUACUGGGCGUAAAGCGCACGUAGGCGGCGCACGCAGUCAGAGGUGAAAGGCCUGGGCUCAACCCAGGAACUGCCUUUGAUACUGGUGUGCUAGAGUCCGGGAGAGGGUAGCGGAAUUCCCAGUGUAGAGGUGAAAUUCGUAGAUAUUGGGAAGAACACCGGUUGCGAAGGCGGCUACCUGGACCGGUACUGACGCUGAGGUGCGAAAGCGUGGGGAGCAAACAGGAUUAGAAACCCUAGUAGUCC
rnacentral:rRNA from 1 species